UUUUCUUGUUUUUCCGGAUUUAGGGUUUCGCCCGGGGGGUCGCUUUUCGGGAAAGGGGGGGUUGGUUCUCCCCAACGAGCGAGUGGUUAUUUCUGUUGUUGGGCGCCCCUCUCGCGAUCGAUGGGAGUUUCGUUAUGCGGACCUUGCGUCGCGGCCGAAAUGACGAAAACGCCCUCCACGCCGCGCCUAAGGGAUUGUCC
rnacentral:lncRNA from 1 species